rnacentral:rRNA from 1 species
GACGAACGCUGGCGGCGUGCUUAACACAUGCAAGUCGAACGAAGAGCGACGGAAGCUUGCUUCUAUCAAUCUUAGUGGCGAACGGGUGAGUAACGCGUAAUCAACCUGCCCUUCAGAGGGGGACAACAGUUGGAAACGACUGCUAAUACCGCAUACGAUCUAACCUCGGCAUCGAGGAUAGAUGAAAGGUGGCCUCUACAUGUAAGCUAUCACUGAAGGAGGGGAUUGCGUCUGAUUAGCUAGUUGGAGGGGUAACGGCCCACCAAGGCGAUGAUCAGUAGCCGGUCUGAGAGGAUGAACGGCCCCAUUGGGACUGAGACACGGCCCAGACUCCUACGGGAGGCAGCAGUGGGGAAUCUUCCGCAAUGGACGAAAGUCUGACGGAGCAACGCCGCGUGAGUGAUGACGGCCUUCGGGUUGUAAAGCUCUGUUAAUCGGGACGAAAGGCCUUCUUGCGAAUAGUGAGAAGGAUUGACGGUACCGGAAUAGAAAGCCACGGCUAACUACGUG